GUCGAACGAAGUAGCAAUACUUAGUGGCAGACGGGUGAGUAACAUGUAGGUAUCUGCCCUUUGGCCUGGAAUAACACGAGGAAACUUGUGCUAAUACCGGAUAAGUCUUUACGGAGAAAGCUUUAUGCACCAUUGGAGGAGCCUGCACUAGAUUAGUUUGUUGGUGGGGUAAUGGCCUACCAAGACUGUGAUCUAUAGCUGAUUUGAGAGGAUGAUCAGCCACAUUGGGACUGAGACACGGCCCAAACUCCUACGGGAGGCAGCAGUGGGGAAUCUUGCACAAUGGAGGAAACUCUGAUGCAGCGAUGCCGCGUGAGUGAAGAAGGCCCUUGGGUUGUAAAGCUCUUUCGUCGGGGAAGAAAAUGACUGUACCCGAAUAAGAAGGUCCGGCUAACUUCGUGCCAGCAGCCGCGGUAAUACGAAGGGACCUAGCGUAGUUCGGAUUUACUGGGCUUAAAGAGUUCGUAGGUGGUUGAAAAAGUUGGUGGUGAAAUCCCAGAGCUUAACUCUGGAACUGCCAUCAAAACUUUUCAGCUAGAGUAUGAUAGAGGAAAGCAGAAUUUCUAGUGUAGAGGUGAAAUUCGUAGAUAUUAGAAAGAAUACCAAUUGCGAAGGCAGCUUUCUGGAUCAUUACUGACACUGAGGAACGAAAGCAUGGGUAGCGAAGAGGAUUAGAUACCCCCGUAGUCCAUGCCGUAAACGAUGUGUGUUAGACGUUGGAAAUUUAUUUUCAGUGUCGCAGCGAAAGCGAUAAACACACCGCCUGGGGAGUACGACCGCAAGGUUAAAACUCAAAUGAAUUGACGGGGACCCGCACAAGUAGUGGAGCAUGUGGUUUAAUUCGAAGAUACGCGCAGAACCUUACCAACACUUGACAUGUUCGUCGCGACUCUAAGAGAUUAGAGUUUUCGGGUUCGGCCGGACGAAACACAGGUGCUGCAUGGCUGUCGUCAGCUCGUGUC
rnacentral:rRNA from 1 species